rnacentral:lncRNA from 1 species
CUGAAACUAUUUUUAUUUUACUGUAUAAAGUGCUAUAAAACUGCAUGUGACAUGACUUGAUGGGAAUUAUAUGAGUGAUUCAUCUAAAGAUAGCAGUAUAUAUCAAAUAUAUAUUUUCUGUAAAUAAGGUUGCUAUGACAUCUACAUUUUAGAAAUGUCACAAUUCUCAAUACCUCAGCAGAAUACCAGGGUAAAAGAACAAAAAAAGUCCUGAAAAAAUAUUCUAAAUAAUUAACUGGCAGUAAUACAAUAAAAACAAAAAAGGAUAAAUACAAUACAAAAAAGAAGCUUUAAGCUUUAAGCUUUAAUUUUUGUAUGCAAGUCUAAAGUAUUCAGCGAACAGCUACUACAGAAAUCUAAUAAUUGAACGUAAAAUUAAACAGCACAGUCUUCACUGUAAGAAUUAAACUUCCUCUGUUCCUUAUUAAAGCUACAAAGUCCUUCAGCGGAGAGCAGUGAGAGAUUUUGUUGUUUGAUUAAUAUGAAGCACACAGUCCGCAGAAGGAAUAUUAGGCUGCUGUCACUUUAAGAGCUGCAUUGAUCCGAUGCACUGUUAUGCAUGUAUUUCAUUCUCAGCUGUUUAUGUUCACUUAAGACAUAACGGAUGAGGGUUUACGUGAAUAAUAAUCACCAAGUGCCCCAUUCUGACACAUUUUUGCGUGUAUUUGACCGUUAAGCUAAAAGUUGACUUUACUCGUCCGUGCUCUGCUUCACACUUUUAAAAAAAAUGAAUAAAUCUAAUCAACUUUGAUAAAUCAAGCACAGAGUCACGUUACAAGAUUUUACUGAUUUGUACGUGAAAUUGAGCUUUUAUGGAGGAGUGAAAGUGCACGCAAUAAUCGUUUUAUCUCAUUACUGUAUAUUCAUAAUUGUUGGACCCCGAGAGAUUCUCAACUGAGCGGCUUCUUCAUCAAGCAUCGCUCUUCUGCUAAAGCCACGCCCACCAGCCCCACACCUGCCGCCGUGGCAACAGCAGAAUCAGACACCCCUCCCCCUGAGCCGGCCGUGACCUCGAGUGACCCCACACCUGUAGCAGCACCUGUAGCAGCUGAGGUCAAAGGGCACGUUCAGGAGGUUGGUCAAACACGGCAGUCCUCUGACGGGGCGUCACUUGGGCGUACAGGUGCUGGGCGACGACAUGCUGGCCGAGAUAUGAGCCAAACAGAGAAACACAAGAAGAGCGAGAUCAUGGACACAUGACACCAGCGGAGCAGAAAGACACUCAAGACGAGCCUGCAGCCAACAAACUCAAACUCACACUCCAGGACCGCCCCCGAGGAUGACGCCACUGACCGCCAGCGCUCAAAGUCCCUCCCCUCAGCCGCUCCGGCCAAUCACGUCUCCUGAUCGCUCCUGGACCUCGCAGUGGCUCCUGCUUCAGAAAGCACAGUUCAAUAAUCAUUUCUUGUUAAACUACAGUAUAUAUACAGUUUACAGCUUAUGAGCAAUGUUGAGUGCUUCUCAACUAGGGGGCCUCAAAAACUCUAACAUGACUUAAAAUUAUUUGCUAAAUAAUCAAUAUGUAAUUUCUCCUCCUCCCAGUGUUAUUACAGCAUCCCUGAGAUUUUGUUGUAGUCUUUUAAAAAUGUUUUUUAAUAUAUUGUCUUGUUUUUCAUAUUUAUUUUAGUUAAAGUUUUAGUGUUUUUUUUUAAUAUGUCUAAAUAGUUUUAAGUUUUUGUUAUUUCAGUACAGCAACACUUUACUUUCAUUUUAUUUCAUAUUUACGGUCAAAAAUUUGCAGCUGUAGUUGCUAGAGUUAAACCGUAAAAAAUACAGUAGCAACAUUUCAUUAACUGAUCCAGUGUUAAUAUACCAACCUACUAAAGUGUAUAUGUAUGUAUGUAUGUAUGUAUGUAAUAAUCGUUUAAAUAUAUUAAUUCCAUUCUGACACAUAAAUAUAAAUCUGUGCCAUAAUUCUCUAUAAACGUUAGAGCCUUCUCCAGUAAUAAGCAAAGAUGAUUCUGAUUGGUUCAUCCUGAGCAGCGCUGAGAAAAGUAACAGACACACGUGACAGCCGUCAACGCGCUAUAGGCAGCUGAAUGAAUUUAGAAUCGCAUACUUCGCCUUUAAGCAUUCUAUUUAAAGUAUUGUGGUAGUAUAAUAUUCAAAUUGAGCCUAGAAUUAUUAUUUAUUUUAGACCGUCAAUCGAGCGCUUCCGGGCCGCGAAGCCCCGCCCACUCC